UUUUCCGUGUCACAAUGACUCAAACUUGCUGCUAGUGGCUAGCGGAAGCUAACCUUAGCGUUAGGCUAAGUGAUAAUUUGACACAACUUGAGCUAAAUUGGCUUUGAGGUUCACAUCAAGUCAGUAAUAAAUGUAAACUACACGAGUUUAUGAUUAAUAGGGGUUUCUUCUAUGUAUUUAAGUAGGAAAGUAAGUUUACUUCUUCCUAUUAUUGUCACCUGGGAAUUAAAAGGGUUUUAAUUCCCAGCCCUUACUCUGUCCUGAGAAUCUCCACCAGCGUAAGUUCUCUGAAUACAGAGCUUGUUUAUAGUUGAAACUGGUGGAAACUCUUCCUGUUGCGUGACAAACGUAGUUUUUCAUUAACCUGCCCCGGGGGGAGGGGGGCUGACAUUAUUUUGGGGGGCGUUUGCUUGAAGGUAAAGUUUACACCAAAGAUGCACAACAAUACCAGUUUAAACUUUGAACAAUUUGCAAAAAACUGUGGUUAUGUUAUUUCUGCCAUAUUGUUAGUAACUAUAUGUGGCCCGCGCAAAAGUGAUACGUUUGUCAUACUUUUGCGCGGCAUUUUCAGUUGUUUUUGUGAGACUAGCAAGAGGCGUAUUCGAAAAUGGCACAGAACAAGAAGAAAUGCCAUCAGUUCGAUUGAAUACCUUGAUUAUGGGUUCAUACCUUUACCAAUACACGCACAACUUCCACAGUGUUUACUAUGUGUACAAGUUUUUUCCAAAUGAGGCAAUGAAGCCAUAACAACUCAAGGAGCGUCUUACGAAGAUCCACUGGGAGAAGGCUGACAAGGCCUUCUUUCAGACUCUUAAAGAGCAGCAUGGUUGGAGAAGCAUCACCAGUCUCUUUACCAGGAAAAUGAACCAGUCUGAUAGUGGGCCAGUGGCGUCCUAUAACAUCUCUCUGCGAAUAGCCAAAUGUGGGCAGCCGUACACAGUUGGAGAAAAAUUGGUGCUCCCUGCCAUCAGAGAGGUAAUCUCUACUGUGCUGGAGCGGGACCCCACGCAGGUGCUGAAAUCCAUACCACUCAGCAAUUACACCGUAGCACGCAGAAUUAAUGAAAUGGGUGCAGAUACGGAGGAGCAGCUGUGUGCUAUUUUAAGGGAUUCUCCGCUCACCCUUCAGGAUGAGACGACCACUCCCGACAACAACGCUUUAAGGCCCCCAGCAGUGAGGACAUGGCUGAAGAGUUUUUGUUUUCAAAAUAUUUGAAAACGGACACAAAGGGUCAAACCAUUUUCAAUGCCCUUUAUGACUAUUUACAGGAAAAGUCCAUCCCAAUAACAAAUAUCCUGGCAUGCGCCACUGACGAUGCCCCCUCGAUGGUUGGCAGGUAUCACGGCUUCACUGCUCUUCUUAAGGUCCUGGUCCUGGUCCUGAAGGUGCUGACAGUCCUUUGCGUCCUGCACCACCACAACCUUGUGGCCAAAUGUAAUAGUCCACCUCUCAAUGAGUCCCUCAAUAUCGCAGUCAAGGCAGUUAACAAAAUAAAAGCCCACGCCCUAAAUGACAGACUGUUCCGACUGCUAUGCCAGGAGAAUGAUGAGAUUUUUGAGCGUCGUCUUCUCCACACAAAUGUGCGCUGGCUCUCAAGGGGAAACUGCCUUGUUCUUUUUUGUAGUCUGUUUGAAGGUAAACAGACUACCUUCAAACAGACUACAGAAACAUCGUGGAGUUUCUGGAGUCGAUUGGUUCAGCUCUGGGGGAACAGGUGACUUCCAGCCACUGCGACAUCAUGUACCUCGCAGACUUCUUUGAAAAAAUGAACAAAGUCACAUUAAAGCUCCAAGGAAAUGGCGUUACUCUUGUCCAGUGCAAAGCAGUGGACAAGUCUCAUCUCCAGGCUGUAUCUGUACAAACAGAGCAUAGGCAGGAGGCAGUUAGCUAAUUUCCCAUAGUUGAUAAAGUUGGUUAUUAUAAUUGAUUAUGCUUAUUUAAUUUCGAUGAAUUAUUGCAUUGCUAAUAACAAUAAUAGCCUAAUCAUUACAGGUGUCUGAGGAGCUUACCGAUGACCGCCUCUUCAUUUACGCGGAACACCUGAAAACGGUUCGGGCCGAUCUGAAAAUGCGCUUCUGGGAUCUCCUGGAUCUUGAAGUUCCCGUGUGGGUGGUCCAGCCCUUUCAGGCGGACGUGGUCGACUGCGAUAUUGCCAUCCAGGAGCAUCUUGUUGAUGUUCAGUGCGACAUUGAGGCCCAAGCUAUUUUUCGCACCUUUGGCUGGGGCAGCAUGUGGACCAAAUAUGCCACACGUUAUCCCACUCUUUGGGAGAAGGCCAGGCUGCUUCUUCUUGCUUUCCUGACCACAUAUCUCGUGGAGCAGGGAUUCAGCCAGGUCCUCCACAUGCAGUCCAAGUACCGAAAUCGUUUGAACUUGGCAGCUUCUGGUGCACUACGGCUGAAACUUAGUUCUCUGCAACCCGCAAUAAAGAAACUGGCUGAAAAACACCAGGUACAGGGUUCCCAUUAGUUUUUCAAAUGAAUUUCCUUUGAAAAUCAGCCUAAAAAUCCUACUUCGUUCUCUGUUCCCAAGUGGCAGAUUCUUUUAAGUUGGGAUCAUUAUUCUGUUCAUUGUUUGGCAUUUCUGAUUGGCUGUUAUUUAAUUAAUAUAUGAAUGGUAGAUUGCUGGCUGUUUCUGAUUGGUUCCUGUUUAUUAUAGUUAAUUAAAGUUUGAAUUGAAAUUCCUAGCCAUUCUGAUUGGCUGAAGUUAGGCGUAUCUAAUUUAAGUUAAAUUUCGGCUGCUUUUUGUAGAAAAAUUACUGGAUACAUAGACAGAUGAACUCAACAACAAACGUAUUUACUCUUUUUAGUCUGUUCCUUCAACCAUCAGGUUUGAGAAAAGUGUUAUUCUGUCCUUUCGUCUUUCCAGAGUUUUAUGAAGCUGAAAUCAUUCAUUGAACUGUGGGGGACGUUUGUGCUGCUGCUACAUAUUUUGCAUUGAGAUGCUAUUUCAGGCUUGAAUAGACUCACUGAGAGGCUAACUCCUUCAACACAGCUUAAACACAACAAUAGUCUUUCUCAGCGUCGCAUCAGAUCGGUUUUUGAAGCAGAAAUGAACCAGUGGAUCAAAACAACCUGCUUCAUUAUCUAUCAAAUUGCUUCCCCGUCGCCUGAAUACCGCAGCUAGGAAUAAUGGAAUAGGACUCCGGUUCUAUUUUGUGGGUUUUCUUUUCUCUGAACUUAAGAGGGACGACCGGGGGCAUUCGUAUUGCGCCGCUAGAGGUGAAAUUCUUGGACCGGCGCAAGACGG